rnacentral:rRNA from 1 species
CCUGGUUGAUCCUGCCAGUAGCAUAUGCUUGCCUCAGAGAUUAAGCCAUGCAUGUGUAAGUACACACGGCCGGUACAGUGAAACUGCAAAUGGCUCAUUAAAUCAGUUAUGGUUACUUUGAUCACUCCAUCUGUUACUUGGAUAACUGGUAAUUCUAGAGCUAAUACAUGCCGACGAGUGCUGACCUCCCGGGAUGUGUGAAUUUAUCAGACCAAGACCAAGCUGGGCUCGCCCAGCUGCUUUGGUGACUCUAGAUAACCUUGAGCCGAUCGCACGUCCCUGCCUAUCAGCUUUCGAUGGUACUUUUCUGUGCCUACAAUGGUGACCACGGGGAAUCGGGUUCGAUUCCAGAGAGGGAGCCUGAGAAACGGCUACCACAUCCAAGGAAGGCAGCAGGCGCGCAAAUUACCCACUCCCGACUCAGGGAGGUAAUAACAACACAGGACUCUUUCGAGGCCCUGUAAUUGGAAUGAGUACACUUUAAAUCCUUUAAUGAGGAUCCAUUGGAGGGCAAGUCUGGUGCCAGCAGCCGCAGUAGUUCCAGCUCAAAUGGCGUAUAUUAAAGUUGCUGCAGUUAAAAAGCUUGUAGUUAGAUCUUGGGAUUGAGCUGGCGGUCCGCUGCGAGGCAAGCUACUGCCUGCCCCUGCCUCUCUGUGCCCCUUGAUGCGCUUGAGUAAGUGGCCUGGGGGUCCGACGCGUUUACUUUAGCAGGACAGUCGCCUGAAUACUUCAGCAAGGAAUAAUGGAAUAGGACUCUGGUUCUAUUUUGGUAGUUUUCAGAACUGGAUUAUGAGGGACAGCCAGGGGCAUUUGUGUUGUGCCGCUAGAGGUGAAAUCUUUGGACCGGCGCAAGACGAACCAAAGCAAAAGCAUUUGCCAAGAACGUUUUCAUUAAUCGGGAACAAAAUGAUACCGUCGUAGUUCUGACCAUAAAAGAUGCUGACUAGCGAUCCAUUGGCGUUAUUCCCAUGACCCGCUGAGCAGCUUCCGGGAAACCAAAGUCUUUGGGUUCUGGGGUGGAGUAUGGUUGCAAAGCUGAAACUUAAAGGAAUUGACGGAAUGGCACCACCAGGAGUGGAGCCUGCGGCUUAAUUUGACUUCACAUGGAAAACCCGGCCGGACACGGAAAGGAUUGACCGAUUGAUGGCUCUUUCUCGAUUCUGAGGGUGGUGGUGCAUGGCCAUUCUUAGAUGGUGGAGUGAUUUGCUUUUUUUAAAUUCUGAUAACGAACGAGACUCCUCCAUGCUAACUAAUUACGCGACCCCCAGAGGUCGGCGUUCAACUUCUUAGAGGGACAAGUGGCGUUCAGCCACACGAGAUCGAGCAAUAACAGGUCUGUGAUGCCCUUAGAUGUCUUGGGCUGCACGUGUGCUACACUGAACAGAUCAACGUGUGUCUACUCUUCAACAGGUGCGGGUAACCCACUGAACCCCGUUCGUGAUAGGGAUUGUAAUUAUUUCCCAUGAGCGAGGAAUUCCCAGUAAGUGCGGGUCAUAAGCCUGCGUUGAGUCCAUGCCCUUUGUACACACCGCCUGUCGCGUUUAGUGAGGUCCUUGGAUCGGGCCCGCUGGGGUCGGCAACAGCACUGGCGGAGCGCCGAGAAGACGAUCACACUUGACUAUCUAGAGGAAGUAAAAGUUGUAACAAGAUUUCCGUAGGAAGGAUCAUUA